UGGAGUCUGCAACUCGACUCCAUGAAGCUGGAUUCGCUAGUAAUCGCGAAUCAGAAUGUCGCGGUGAAUACGUUCCCGGGUCUUGUACACACCGCCCGUCACACCAUGGGAGUUGGUAACGCCCGAAGUCAGUGACCCAACCGCAAGGAGGGAGCUGCCGAAGGCGGGACCGGUAACUGGGGUGAAGUCGUAACAAGGUACC
rnacentral:rRNA from 1 species